AAUUACUACGGAACCUGAUGGGAUAGAAUGAUGAGGUGAAACCGACAAGGUGAAGCCUAUUAAGGGAAAACAAGAGCCUUGCAUUAAAGUCUGAAAGAUUGAUCACUAGUACCGGAUGGAGGAGACACAGCUUGACAGUAACUAAUGUGGAAAACACCCAGAUGUAGGAGAGCUGUUGAAUAUUUGUGAACAAAGGAAGCAAAAAUAUUCCUACUCUAUGUUUUGAAAUUGAAUUGAAAACAGAAAAGAAGAAAGCAGGGUGUUCAAACAGAUCAUCACAUCAAAAGAAAAUAUUCCUGCUAUCAGAUUAAAUUAAAAUGCUGAUUCCAUAAUAAAUAUGUCACAAAGAGCUACUGUAACACAAUAUAACACGUUGGAGACAAUAACUCCAUGUACAUCUUUUAAACACCACUGUAAUUCUUUUCUCAUCCUUUAAACCAAUGUGAUUUUUUUAGAGUGAGUAAAAUGUAGUGUUAUGACAGUGUUGAACACAUUUCAUGUAGUUUCACAGAGCAUUUCCAGAAAAUGAGUAGCAAUUUAAGACAGAGAUUUAAUCUAUUGAGAGUAUGUCUCCAAAUUAUUUUCCUAUUCUUUAAGAUUCCUGUGACAUUUAUGCAUCCUUGGCAUCUACCCCCUUUAUUUUUCCCCUCUCCAUCCACUUACUACGUUAUGUCACCUUAUUUUUUUCCUACAAAUUAAUGGCUUCUUAAUGGAGAAGAAGUUAACAUACUGGCCUUAAGGGGAAAUGCAAGAGGAUAGAAUUCAAAGAAAGCUAAUGAGAAUGAUAAACAGUUUGAGGACUGUAGAUUUUUAUCAUUAUCAUAAAAUUACUCUAAUUGUAAUGGCAAGCCUAUUAAAAUGAUCUGUCAUUAAAAUUGCAGUGCUGUGGCAAGUAAUUUUGUCUAUCAAAUAAUUUUAAUAUUGUCCUAAAAUGAUACUGUUUCAAUGCUCUCAGU
rnacentral:lncRNA from 1 species